AUCCGGCUGAAGAGUCCUAAAUAGGACGAAAUACGCGUUUUGGAU
rfam:Schistosoma rodhaini strain Burundi genome assembly, scaffold: SROB_scaffold0013869